UCGACCGGCCGGCACCGGGUGGAGUAACGCGUAUGCAACCUGCCCGAUACCGGGGUAUAGCCCAUGGAAACGUGGAUUAACACCCCAUAGUACUUUUAUCCUGCAUGGGAUGUGAGUUAAAUGUUCAAGGUAUCGGAUGGGCAUGCGUCCUAUUAGUUAGUUGGCGGGGUAACAGCCCACCAAGACGAUGAUAGGUAGGGGUUCUGAGAGGAAGGUCCCCCACAUUGGAACUGAGACACGGUCCAA
rnacentral:rRNA from 1 species